AUGCUUGGAAGCAUCGACUGCAUGCAUUGGAAAUGGAAGAACUGUCCAUUUGCUUGGCAGGGGAUGUACAAAGGCGCCAAAGGCGGUUGCAGUGUGAUACUUGAGGUGGUGGCCACACAGGACCUCAGGAUUUGGCACUCCUUCUUUGGUAUGCCAGGAACUCACAAUGACAUCAACGUGUUGCAGUGCUCCCCUGUCUUUGCCAAGCUUGUUGAAGGUCAUUCUCCUCCGGUGAACUUCGAGGUCAAUGGGCGGCACUACAACAAGGGGUACUACCUAGCUGAUGGCAUCUAUCCGAGAUGGUCUACAUUUGUGAAGACUAUCUCAAACGCUGUGCCAGGAGGCAAGAACUCCCACUUUGCCAAGGUGUAG
rnacentral:rRNA from 1 species